rnacentral:rRNA from 1 species
UACGUAGGAGGCGAGCGUUGUCCGGAGUUACUGGGCGUAAAGGGUGCGCAGGCGGUGGCCCGCGUGGGCGGUGAAAGCUCCUGGCUCAACUGGGAGAGGGCCGUCCAGACGGGGUCACUUGAGGGGCGGAGAGGGGCGUGGAAUUCCGGGUGGAGCGGUGAAAUGCGCAGAUAUCAGGAGGAACACCGAUGGCGAAGGCAGGUCUCUGGGCCACUACUGACGCUGAGAAGCGAAAGCAUGGGGAGCGAACAGG